rnacentral:lncRNA from 1 species
UUGAAUCAAGCAUUUUUUUCUCGAACCAACUUCAUCUAGAGUCACCCUAUCUACAUAUGAAGAACAUAAGAUUAAGGUAUAUAACUUUACUAAAUUAGAGUUUUUAUCUUGUUCUUUUUCUCUUUUCUAUUUGUUUUAAAGAACAUAAGUUUAGGUUUUUUUACUUUACUGAGUUAGGUUUUUACACGGUUCUAAGUGACUUAUGUUUGAC